AUAUCCCUCCACAUAAAACAUAGUCGUUUUACCUAGGUAUAAAAGCAAAAUAUCCCUCCCCUACCUUCAUUGUUUGCCUCAAUCACACCCCUCACCCGUCAUGUCACACAAAAGUUGCCCCUCUCUAUUCUCCAGUCUCCUCUCCUCGACACUCAUCCUCUCCUUCAAUUCUUGAUCGUUCCCUUCCCCUUUCUCACUUUUUGAGUUUUAACUUCUCUUCCGACCUUUCUAAAUUCAAUUGGUUUGCGGUUUGCCCACCACA
rnacentral:misc_RNA from 1 species